CCUACGGGUGGCAGCAGUGAGGAAUAUUGGUCAAUGGGCGCGAGCCUGAACCAGCCAAGUCGCGUGAGGGAAGAAGGUACUGAGUAUUGUAAACCUCUUUUGCCAGGGGACAAAUGCGGCCACGUGUAGCCGUACGAGGGUCCCUGUAGAAAAAGCAUCGGCUAACUCCGUGCCAGCAGCCGUGGUAAUACGUAGGGUGCGAGCGUUAAUCGGAAUUACUGGGCGUAAAGGGUGCGCAGGCGGGUGAGUAAGACAGGUGUGAAAGCGCCGCGCUUAACUCUGGAAUUGCAGAUGUGACUGCGUGACUAGAGUGCGUCAGAGGGAGGUGGAAUUCCAGGUGUAGCAGUGAAAUGCGUAGAUAUGUGGAAGAACACCGAUGGCGAAGGCAGCCUACUGG
rnacentral:rRNA from 1 species